rnacentral:misc_RNA from 1 species
GGCUUGUUCUAUUAGACCCAGUUCUGUUGCCAAUUUUGGUUGGGAAAGAUGGCGCCUGAACCCAAGAGGAGGAAAAUCGAGCCACCGCCGCUUCGUAGGCAUGUCUCCUUGUUGUUCAGAUUUCUGAUUUGGUUUUUUGCUUAAUACUCUCUGCUUUUGAAUGCUAUAUGAACUGGGUUUUGAUUGAGAGUUAUGUUAAUUGGUGUUCUAUCUGACAAUCUCUUCACCUGCAGCAAAGAAAACCAGAGAUGCAACAUCAGUUCCGGCACCCCUGACACAUAGAAUAGACUACAGGAUACAACAGGCAAAAAAUUUUGCAGUUGCACAAGCACAACAAGAAGGCUGCACUGGAAAUUUUAGAAUUUUUGAUUCGCCGUUUGGGAACUUUCUGGUUCCUGUUAUCCCAACUCGUGAGGAAUUAGCAGAAUGAUCAGUUUCUCACUUCUUUUUUGGCUUGGUUUCUUAACAUAAAACUCAUUGUGCACAUGGUUUUUAAUAUAGCCUAGUAUCUAUACUCAAUGAAUGUUAUGAUGGUUUUCUUUCUUAUUUAGAUUUUAGUAUCCAUCUUAUCCUAUAGCCAAAGGUUGAAUCCUUCUCGAGGCAGCAUUAGGAAAUCUCUCUCUAUUUUACCCUCUUUUCUUUUCUAUUUGUAGUGUUUCCUGAUCAAUUAAUUUUAAUGCUGUCAGUGACGUUUCUUCCUUUGAUGAAGGCCUCUUGUUCCUAGAAGAUGAUUCAGGUAAGGACUUACUUCCAACUUCUAUUCAGUUUUUUUAUUUAUUUAGCUUCGACUGGAGGUUGAACAGUGCCAAGCUCAUUAAUGAAUUUUGCAAAGUUGAUAGAGAGCUCUUCCUCUCAAGCCUUAUUUCUUUGGGAAUGACAGUGAGGAAUAUGGAAUCAUUGAGCAAAUUAGAAGAGAGCUACACUAUUUUCGAAUAAUUCUGUUUGCACUUAAAUUUUUAUCAUCUUUCAGUUUCACUAAUUAAGAAGGUUGAGGCAAAUAGGAAAAACAGAACAUUAUUUUAAAUUUAAUCCUUAGAAUAUGCAUAAACUCUUGUGUGAUUAACAAAGCACUUGAAAGUCUUUGUAGAUUCCCUGCUUUGUUUGCCUGGCCAGAAAGGUGAAGAAAAUUCUUGGCUAAACUAUUUUUUAGUCUCUAUGUUUUAUCAUUAUUAACACUUUCAUUCCUCUAUUUGGAAAAAUAAAUUACAAGUCCAUGAGAUUUGGUUCUGUCAAAGAUUUUAGUCUUUCCACUUACUUUAAGUCCAUUUAGUCAUUAAUGCCUUAAAAAAGGCAAAAUACCAUCACUGAAACUAGCAACUUCAGAGAUGUUUUAAUCAGUGUUAUUGAACCUGGACAGGAUUGGUGAGUCAACUCAGGAUGUUGGACCUAAAACUGGUACGGUUUUACUUUACUUUUGAACCACUUAAGAAAGAGAACUGAGAUAAAUCGGCUGACCCUGCAUACUGCUUGGCCUGUCCAAAAUGCUAUAUCCACUCGGCUAGGUCUGUUUCUUUCAUUAUGCCAGAAACGUUAUGUUUUGGGUUUUUAUGUGGCGUUUUACUGCCCAACCUUUUUCUCUUUGCUGCUUGUUACUUCGAUUAUAGGAACCAGAGAUCCCUAACCUCUCAUUGCUGUCUAAAACCUAUUUUUUCUUCGACAUUACUUCCUCUCAAUUGUUUGAACCAAAGCUCUCUACUUACUUUUCCAAGAAGAAACACUCCUUCACAGUUCAUACAGUAGAUUUCCUUGUCUCUCUCACUGGAUUUAUUGCUUCCUGUGGGUGUUGGAUGCGGAAGUGUGGCCUAAAUUUUGUCUCGUGGUUUUAGUUAUAGCCAUUAGGUAAGUUUAAUUUUGUCUUUGGUUGGUUACGGUUGGAGUUCGGUUGGGUUCUGUUCUGCAGAUUUGAAUUUGGUUUUGUUAGUUUGUUUGCAGUUGCACAUAUGAAGUUGUAAAAUCAAAAGUAGUUUGUUUCUGCAUCUGUUAGCUGGACUAAGAUUCUGCUGAUAGCCGGUGGAGAAUUAAAUGGUUGAAAUAAGAAGAACAAUUGGUGGAGAUGGAAGAAUGGUUGAAAAUAUAUUUUCACUAAAUUAAGGGUUUUUUUUCUCUCCCUGAAAGUCAACUCAAGUUUCAUGAGAAAUUUGGAUUCAGUUUGGUUCACCCAAUGAGCAUGUCAGAUAUGGGUGUGGUUUUUUGAUUUGAAAUCAAAUCAAAUGAAUCAAAAUCAAUCAAAUUUGAGUUUGAUCGAUUGCAAUUUGAAUCUGAUUUUGAUUGAUAUUAAAAUUACACCCAACAAUAUUGCAAACUUUUUACUGUAUAAGGAUGAUAAGAUAGGAAAAUAAUUUAAUAAUUUAAAUUUAAUUACUAAUAAAAUAAAUUAUUUAUACCAUUAAUUAUUCAGUGACAAGUGGGUGAAAUUUAAAAAUUUUUAUACUUCUCUGCAAUUGUCAUAAUAUUGAUAAUUAUUAACUAUUUUAUAUAGUAAUUUAGUUGAUGUAAUUGUAUAUAUUAAGGGAAUUCCAAAGUGACGUUGUACUUCAAGGUUGAUGGCAUGGAAGGGUUGCUGUUUGUUUGAGGUUUGACUCCUCUUGGGCCCGUUCCAUUUUUUUUAGUUGAAAUGACAGGAUUAUUCGUUUUAAACUCGGUUGAGUUUUUUCGAUUCGCCGGUUUUGUGGCCAAUUUAGACCAAUCUUCAUGAAAUUUGAUUUUGAUAGUUAAAAUUAAAUCGUUCUGAUUGAUAAAUUUGGUUUGAUCUGAAUUUAACAACCAUGAUAUAUAGUAUGAAUAAUUGGCCUGAGGCAAUGUUAUUGAACUCAGAUUGGACUGGCAGGUUUACUUGUAGAAUUAGUGAAUCGGCCAUAAAAUCAGUCCAGUUUUGUAAUUGAACCGGCUGGCAAGGCACUAAUCUGCUCUUGUUCCUUGUUGAUCCAUCCUCACCUGUUGAAGCUUCAUUGUGAAAUAACUAGAAGUAGUCUUCAUCUC